AGUAAAUAAUUUAAAAUAAAAUACUAAUUUUGGAAAUUAGAAAUAAUUAUAUUUUUACUGAU
rnacentral:tRNA from 1 species